rnacentral:rRNA from 1 species
UCCUUACUGAGAAUAGCCCUCGAAAGAGGAUUAAUACUCCGUAACAUCCCGAUGUGGCAUCACAAUGGGAUUAUAGCUCCGGCGGUUAAAGAUGGGCGUGCGCCUGAUUAGAUAGUUGGCGGGGUAACGGCCCACCAAGUCUGCGAUCAGUAACUGGUGUGAGAGCACGACCAGUCACACGGGCACUGAGACACGGGCCCG